rnacentral:rRNA from 1 species
AUUGCAGCCUGCAACUCGGCUGCAUGAAGCUGGAAUCGCUAGUAAUCGCGGAUCAGAAUGCCGCGGUGAAUACGUUCCCGGGUCUUGUACACACCGCCCGUCACACCAUGGGAGUCAGUAACGCCCGAAGCCGGUGACCCAACCUAAUCAGGAGGGAGCCGUCGAAGGCGGGACGGAUGACUGGGGUGAAGUCGUAACAAGGUACC